ensembl:lncRNA
GAUAAUUUUACGCUGCCUUAUGACAAACUGCCCUACUUUGGCAAAAUGUCCUACUGUACGUAAUUUAUGCACAUUUCUGCUGCCACACAAUAAUUCCAGUACAAAUUUAAGUAGGUAUGACGGUUUGCCACUUAACUUUGCCCAUCAGAGUAUGUUUGUAGCUGAUAUUCAUAAAGCCAGUACGGUUUGACACUUCUUUUUACCCAUUAAAGUGUGCUUGUAGGUCACAUUCACAAAGGUAGCAUGGUUUGGCACGUAAUUCUUCCCGUCAGAGUAUGCUUCUUGCUCUUAUUCACAAAGGUAGCAUGGUUUGGCACGUAAUUCUUCCCGUCAGAGUAUGCUUCUUGCUCUUAUUCACAAAGGUAGCA